CUUUUUUCUUUUUUUUAAGAUUUGUUUAUUUAUUUCAGAGACAGUGCAUGUGCACAAGUGCGCAGGUGGGGGAGGGGCAGAGGAAGAGCAUCUUCAAGUCCCCAUCCCCCACUUGAUCCCAGGACCCAUGAGAUCUUUACCUGAGUAGAAACCAAGAGUCAGUCGCCCAACCAACUGAACCACAUAGGCACCCAUUCUUGUACAGUCUUAACUUGUGGAAUCUGCAGUAACUCUGGGUGGUUAGAGUCAGAACUCAGUUGAAUUCUGGAACACUUGGAAAAGUGGUUUUGGAAAAGAUACUGUAUUUGGUGUCAGGAGGCAAAAAAACCUUUCAUCUGAUGUCAAAAGUGUUGUGAAUAAAAAUAACUCACAGGAAACAACUAGGUCAUUUUGGAGGAUUCCAAACCAAUUUCUUGGAAGACCAGUUGAGGAUAGAAGCCCUUCUUCCCUGCUGUGUCCCACAUGGGUAGAUGGCAGACAUCUCUGUCCUCGCAUGGUCAUGGAAGCACAUGUGAAGAUAGAUGGACCUGGGAUGGAAUUGUUUCAUCAUUUCUUAGCAGCAUGGCCUUAGGAAAACUGUUUGACCUCACUAAGUGAGCUUGUUAUAAGAAUUAAACUAACACAUUCCUACCAUAGUGUUUCACACAGUGUGCUCAAAGUUAACUACAAACUACUGGCCAUCUAGAAAAUAGGGCUCUCUUUCUAACCAAGAUGUGUUUGGGUUGCCACUGCAAGGAGCAAACCUCCACUUUCUGCAUCCACAUCUAUAGUCAUCUGAACCCGUACCUGUCUCCUCCCCAUCUCAGAGUAGGGAGGCUAUUUGGUAGCAGUGGUGGAAGCCAUGGAUUGCUGUUGUAGUGAUGUGAUCUUGAAGCUGAAAGUCACUGGUGGCCCUCUGACUUCUGGCCCCUGAACCUUCCAUUGUUUAUAAGCACAUAAUUUCAUGAACUAAAUUCCUUUCUUUUUGAAAUACCUGGAAUGUAUUUUUAUUUCCUGCACUGAACUCUGAUGGGUACACAAACUCAAGAUCAUUUUAAUAAAGUCCCAGCUUUGAACCA
rnacentral:lncRNA from 1 species